rnacentral:ncRNA from 1 species
UGGUUGCCGACCGAGGGAGGAUGGGCCGCGUCGCGAUGCGGCUCCGCACUCCCGGGGCGUCUCGUUCUCAUCGCGAGAAGAGGCGCACCCAGAGCGUACACGUUGGGACCCGAAAGAUGGUGAACUAUGCCUGGUCAGGACGAAGUCAGGGGAAACCCUGAUGGAGGUCCGUAGCGAUUCUGACGUGCAAAUCGAUCGUCGGAACUGGGUAUAGGGGCGAAAGACUAAUCGAACCAUCUAGUAGCUGGUUCCCUCCGAAGUUUCCCUCAGGAUAGCUGGC